UUCUCUUAACUUCCCCUUAUGUGAAGUCAAAUGGGAUCAUUUGUAUUUUCACCAGAAUACAGUAUCUGUGAAAUAUGCAAAGAACUCAAAAUGUUCACACAUAAACAAAACACAGGACAUGGUGUUUUUAAUUACUGAUAAAAAAAAAUCCAGCACAGUCACAUGAAAUUAUGAUCAUUUUUUACAAACAGAGCAAACAGACGCUUCAUUACCCCGAAAUAAGAUUGGUUUCUAAGACGGAACUAAAUUUUGAAUAACGUGAGGUCAGCGACCCCAGAAAAUGCUUCCACACAGAGUCCAUCAGAGGGCAGCACACACAUCAGCUGUACUGUUGGGAUGAAUCAGCAUUCAUGGUUUGAAGGCAUAAAGGAAGGUUUGAACAUCAGUUCCAUGUAAAAUAAGAGUAAGUUAUGUAGUCAAGAAACAGAGAUUUCACAUUGCAUUGUUAUGUUAAUUCUAGGCCUGCGCAGUUUUUACAGCAAUCAAACCAAGCUCCUAUGCUCAGUUAUUAAAUUAAUUAUAGUAAAAUAAUAAAUACAAGCAAUUAUUGUGAUUUCAAAAACAAAUGCAAUAAAAGUUUCUUAGUGACAUGACUCUCUACUCUGAAACCAUCUUACUUGUGCAGAUCUGAUUUGCCGUGGAUCCCUCCCCCGUCUACUGUACACCACCUCAUAUAAAAAGGAUGAAUAGGGCUGGUGAUGUCUGGACUCAGAGAAGGACAGAGACCUGUUUACUGUUAACAUGCUUUCAUUAAUAUGGGGGCUGGUUGGUUUCAUUGUGUUGCUAAGGUCAGGCACUCGGGGAACCUUUCAACAGUUUGACUCGAAAGAACUGCAAAUCCACACUAUCCAGCCUGCACCUGCGUCAGUCCCUGCAUGGGUCCCUCUGCACUUUGAAGUCACCAGGUCCAUUGAGCAAACAUCUGAUCAUCGGGAGGCCCGACUGGAUGAUGAUGAUUACAGCGGUGUAAUCCACAGGCAUCAUCAUCAUCAUCACUAUCAGCAGCAGCAGCGGCAGCAGGGCGUUGGACCAGGAGCCAGCACCUUCCGGACGACGCAGGAAAGAGCUGGACAUGACAGCAGAGCUGGUGGCAUAAAUUUUAGGUUUCCUCAGAAUCAACCCUACCAUCAGCAGCUUCUGAAGAAAAGCUGGCCGACCUCACAUCUGCAACGCAGUGCUGCACCGUCUGCAGCCUGGCAACUGCCUGAAGGCUCAAAGAUCUCUCCUGCAUUUCUGAGAACUGCUGCAGCAACAAGGUCCAGCUGCAGAAGUCGACCCAUAGACCUGGUCUUCAUCAUAGACAGUUCACGUAGUGUGCGUCCCUCUGAGUUUGAGAAGGCAAAGGAGUUCUUGCAGGACAUGGUGGACAGCUUGCCCAUUGGAUCCGAUGCCACGCGAGUCGGCCUCGUCAAUUAUGCCAGCACAGUAAAGAUCGAGUUUCUCCUGAAGACAUAUUUUGACAAGACCGCCUUGAAGCAAGCACUCGCCCGGGUUGAGCCCCUUGCUUCAGGCACCAUGACAGGAACUGCCAUUAAGAGCGCCAUGGAGAACGUAUUCACUAGCCAAGCCGGAUCUCGUCCCAGCCCCAUGAUAGCCAAAGUAGCCAUCAUAGUGACGGAUGGAAGGCCUCAGGACAAGGUGGAAGAUGUAUCAGCAGCAGCUCGGGCAUCUGGGAUUGAAAUCUACGCAGUGGGAGUAGACAGAGCUGAUCUGAUGUCCCUCCGCCUCAUGGCCAGCCAACCACAUGAUGACCAUGUCUUCUAUGUAGAAACCUAUGGUGUCAUGGAGAAGCUCAUUUCCAAAUUUAGGCAAACCUUGUGUGGUAAGAAUGAUGGUGAUGGGACUGUGGAUAGCCCAGUCAAUGGUCAUUAUGGACUAGGUCACAGGAAAAACAAAACAAACAAUGAAAAUGACAUUGAAGGACACAACGGUCUGGACCCAUGUGCGCAGGGACACAAUUGCCAGGACAUUUGUGUUAGCAAUGGCAAUUCCCACACUUGCAAGUGUCGCUCAGGCUUUGUGUUGAACCUGGACAAGAAGACAUGCUCACGUGCAGAUGUUUGUAUGCAGGGACACGAUUGUCAGCACGUGUGUGUCACCAGUGGCAGCUCAUAUACCUGCAAAUGUCGAGUGGGACAUACAUUAAAUGCAGACCAGAAAACAUGCUCACAUUCGGAUACAUGUUCCCAGGGACAUGACUGUCAGCAUGUUUGUGUCAAAAGUGGUGAUUCCUAUCACUGCAUAUGUCACAAGGGAUAUGUGUUGAAUGAGGACGAGAAAACAUGCUCACGUAAGAACAAAAAGCCACAAAUCUUGGGUUUAUCGUGGCCAGAAAAAACAGGAAGACCUGUUAGAACACUACCUGAGUGCGUCAAUAAUGGAGUGUUACGUGUGUGGCUGUCUUCUUCCAGGUUCUUAUACUUGUGCCCACGGUCAUGACUGUCAGCAUAGUUGUGUAAAAACUGAUGAUUCUUACAUCUGUAAGUGUCAUUCGGGCUACAUGUUGAAUGUGGAUCAGAAAACAUGUUCCCGUAAACACUGUUUUUGUCUCUGUGAAUUGGGAAUCACUGAUUCUUAAUUAGCUGCAGAAGGAAAUGUGGUCUUAUUGAAGUUAGUUGAGAAUGUUACUGUAGCUGUGUGUCAUUGCAGGUUUGAGCACAUGUGACCAAGGGAAUAAUUGCCAGCAUAUUUGCGUUGCAAGUGGUGAUUCUCACCAUUGCAAAUGUCGUGAAGGAUACGUGUUGAACGCAGAGCAAAGAACAUGCUCACGUAAGAAACUGAAUUUCACCUGCGGUGAACAAACACUGCAUCUGAAAUGCUGGUGGUACUGCCUUGGAUUGUUUAACCUGACUGCGUUGGACGUUUCUUUUCAGAUUCAGAUUUGUGUCCUUCGGGACACGACUGCCAACAUAUUUGUGUCAGAACAGACGAUUCAGAACAUGCAACAGUUUUUAUACAUUUAUGGAGAAAUUAAUGUAAAACUACAGUUUAGGUUUUAGUGGUGCUUUAUUUGGCUAAAGGUCCUGAAUGUAACUACUUGCUGUGAUUAGUAUUAUAAAUAGUCAUACUCAAUCAAUCUUUAUUUAUUUGUCUCAUUUUAUUAUUUAUUGUUUAUUGCUGUAAUUACAGAACCUUUAAAUCACCAGUUCGGUUAAUAAAUCUACAUUAGAUUAUGUCUAAAGGAUCUGUCCCAGGACCAAUUAUAGUGGCAAAAGUGGUUGAUUAAACGAAUUUUGGCUGUUUAGUUCAAUUCUUAAGUUUAUUGUGAUGCUUAACUGGAAAUAGGGCAAAUGGCCAUAGUCAUGAAAAUGGCCAUAGUCAUGAAGUUUUCAUGGCCAUAGUCAGUUCAUAAACUAAGUCAGUCAGAUGCAGAAGUCUUUCUUUCAGGUUCAGAUCCUUGUGCCCGUGGACAUAAUUGCCAACACAUUUGUGUCAACAAUGAUGACUCGUAUAUCUGCAAGUGUCAAAUGGGAUAUGUGUUGAAUUCAGACCAGAAAACAUGUUCACGUUCAGGCUUGGAUUUGUGUGCCCUGGGA